rnacentral:rRNA from 1 species
CCUACGGGAGGCAGCAGUAGGGAAUCUUUCACAAUGGGCGAAAGCCUGAUGGAGCAACGCCGCGUGCAGGAUGAAGGCCUUCGGGUUGUAAACUGCUUUUAUAAGCGAGAAAUAUGAUGGUAACUUAUGAAUAAGGAUCGGCUAACUACGUGCCAGCAGCCGCGGUCAUACGUAGGAUCCGAGCAUUAUCCGGAGUGACUGGGUGUAAAGAGUUGCGUAGGUGGCAUAAUAAGUAGCUAGUGAAAUCUGGUGGCUCAACCAUUCAGACUAUUAGCUAAACUGUUAAGCUCGAGACCGUUAGGGGUAACUGGAAUUUCUAGUGUAGGAGUGAAAUCCGUAGAUAUUAGAAGGAACACCAAUAGCGUAGGCAGGUUGCUGGGACGGUUCUGACACUAAGGCACGAAAGCGUAGGGAGCAAACGGGAUUAGAUACCCGAGUAGUG